rnacentral:rRNA from 1 species
UACGUAGGGUGCGAGCGUUAAUCGGAAUUACUGGGCGUAAAGCGUGCGCAGGCGGUUCGUUGUGUCGGCGGUGAAAGCCCCGGGCUUAACCUGGGAAUGGCCGAUGAAACUGGCGAACUGGAGUGUGGCAGAGGGGGGUGGAAUUCCGCGUGUAGCAGUGAAAUGCGUAGAGAUGCGGAGGAACACCGAUGGCGAAGGCAGCCCCCUGGGCUAACACUGACGCUCAGGCACGAAAGCGUGGGGAGCAAACAGG